rnacentral:rRNA from 1 species
AACACAUGCAAGUCGAACGAACCCAAUUCUUCGGAUGAGGGUUAGUGGCAAACGGGUGAGUAACACGUAGGUGACCUGCCCCAAAGCGGGGGAUAGCGGCUGGAAACGGUCGCUAAUACCGCAUGUGCCCGGCGAUACGGUUCGCCGAGUAAAGCUUUGGCGCUUUGGGAUUGGCCCGCGUCCGAUUAGCUAGUUGGUGAGGUAACGGCUCACCAAGGCGACGAUCGGUAGCUGGUCUGAGAGGAUGAUCAGCCACACUGGGACUGAGACACGGCCCAGACUCCUACGGGAGGCAGCAGUGGGGAAUAUUGGACAAUGGGCGCAAGCCUGAUCCAGCCAUGCCGCGUGAGUGAUGAAGGCCCUAGGGUUGUAAAGCUCUUUCGCCAGGGACGAUAAUGACGGUACCUGGAUAAGAAGCCCCGGCUAACUUCGUGCCAGCAGCCGCAGUAACAC